UACGUAGGGUGCGAGCGUUGUCCGGAAUUAUUGGGCGUAAAGCGCGCGCAGGUGGUUUCUUAAGUCUGAUGUGAAAGCCCACGGCUCAACCGUGGAGGGUCAUUGGAAACUGGGGAACUUGAGUGCAGGAGAGAAGAGUGGAAUUCCACGUGUAGCGGUGAAAUGCGCAGAUAUCAGGAAGAACACCCGUGGCGAAGGCGGCUCUCUGGGACGGUACUGACGCUGAGACGCGAAAGCGUGGGGAGCGAACAGG
rnacentral:rRNA from 1 species